rnacentral:rRNA from 1 species
UACAGAGGGUGCAAGCGUUAAUCGGAAUUACUGGGCGUAAAGCGCACGUAGGUGGCGACGUAAGUCGGGUGUGAAAGCCCCGGGCUCAACCUGGGAAUUGCAUUCGAGACUGCAUUGCUGGAGUACGGAAGAGGAAGGCGGAAUUCCCGGUGUAGCGGUGAAAUGCGUAGAUAUCUGGAGGAAUACCGGUGGCGAAGGCGGCAUCCUGGACCGAUAUUGACACUGAUGAGCGAAAGCCAGGGGAGCAAACGGG